rnacentral:lncRNA from 1 species
AAGGGAGAAGGGGAGGCAACUCAAGGCAGUUUGCAGGGAGGAAAGGUAGGCACCUGAAAAAGACCAGACCCAGACCGUGAGGAAAAGACCCUGGAGUGUGGACCAGACUCAGUAACAGACCCUGAAAAGCUGAGGGAAGUCGAGGUUCUGACUCAAGCUGGUGGCAGAUAUUCGAGCACUCCCCACUCAAGACACCUGACGUGGGUGCACCAGUGAGAGAAAGGAUAGAGCGUGUGAGAUGAAAGGGCUGGUCUUAUUAAGCCCUACAAUACUCUGGGGUCCAAGCAAUCCUGCUGUGGGACCCUGCUAAGUGAACAUAAUGCCGAGGAAGAACAGCUCUCCUCUUUUUGCCAAAGCCUGCCAAGGUGUCAAGGCUUGAGAAAGAGUGGUGGGUGCCACAACAGAGAUCAGGUUCAGCCAUCAAGGCCAGCAACAGUGCAGCAGCUCAGCCCAGAAGACUGGGCUGACAUGCAGGCCUAUGUUAGACGUCUCUUGGGAACUCUUAGGCAUAUCUUUUGGUGAAAGGGUGCAGGGGAUGGAGGGGAAAGUUGGCAAACUUUUACAGAAUUGGUGGGGAUGUGAGUACCAAAUACAAUGGGACCUUGCUCACCUGCUGGUAAAGCUUGAGGAUCAUUUAGUUACACCGGAGUUCUGAAUAUUCUAGUCCCUUUUAAAGGAUGUCAUGAGAUGUCUGAUCUACCAGGACCAGCCCUGCUAUUCUGCUCUGUCCUAGUAAUCAGAGGUCUCUAACCUCUGAACCACCAAGAACUUGAGCUUCCAUGAUUACAGAGAAGGGCUCUUUCUCCCAUGUAGAGAACUAGGAAGUAGCUGGUGACCACUAUGUCCACAUGGGCUCCCUCACCCGAUCAUCAAGGUCCCCUGUGCUAUCCAUAGCCUUCCCUCACCCUGGCAAAGGUGAUGCAAAGCCUUUACUCUACACACCCAUCCAACCUGAGCCUUAUCAUCUAACAUACUCACAUGGGGUCUUAUUGUACUCUAUGCACCCCCAGUUCAAGAGGAUGACAAGCGAACCUUACUGUAAAUAUCUUUUCAUGUUUCUAAUCCUCCCACACAUGCCUCCGGUUUCCUCCCUGGCCCUCCAAGCUUACAGUCUGUUUCCUUCUGUGGUGAAGUUGGGCAAGUUCCGAUGCUUGGGGUGGAGAGCCAUGAAUCAUGAGUGAGAGGCUCUGGGAACACCAAGUCCACACUACUCUACUUACAAGUCCUAAACUGCCUAGUGGGAUCCAACGCUGACCCCAGUGGAGUUCUUUACCCAUGACUGGUGUCCUCAGGAAUGUGUCUGUGGGAAGAAAAGUCUCAAAUGCUGGGGAAUGGAGCCAUCGAUAAUUUCUUUCCUAUGUUGGAGUGCAAGAGAGCCCCUAAGGCUGGAGCACUCCCCAAGUAAGCAGGCAGAGACAGAGACCUGAGUCCUACUGCUGAGUCAUUUAAAUCUGCUUUAGAUCGGGUUUUCCCAGGGCAUGGAAAGGACAGGGCUCCCAGUGGAGAUAUCAUGUAGCUAUAGGGCCUAGAAGUAUUUUUUCAGUAGAUGAAAUUUAGAAAUAAUUUGAAUAUUUUAUGCUGGGGAGGUAGCUUGUGGAGUGAAAUGGUCGGGUAAAGGAAACACUGAGUUCAAGUGCUUCUUUAUAAAGGACACUUAACUGAUCUAAAUAUUUGUCAAGCUGAAUCGCUACAUCCACUCUCACCUGCCUGAAAUCAAUAUGCUCAAGUCAAACGCAUUUGCCUGCAUCUGAAUGUGGAGAAUGAACUUCUUAAAGCUGAACUGGCAGCUGGAAGGGGAGAGAGAAGAGCUGGACAGGGAGCCAGGACACCGGAGUUCUUUUCCACUGUGGUGGGAUCUGGAAGAAGCUGUUGAAUCUCUGUAGAGUUAGCUUUUAAAUGCUGUGAGUCUUUGGAAAGCUGUGCGAAUAACUGCUAAACACCCAGGACAGCUUAUGCAUUUUUUGAAAAAGGUUCCUGGUGCUGGUUCCAGCAGAAUAGACACAGAGAUGCAUGGCCUAACUCCCACUCCCUCUUCAGGACUGAGCCACGCAGCCCCCCAUCUGCCAGAAGUGUUAGCUGUUGACGGCUCACAGCUGAGUCCCUCUCCAGGCAUUGCUGAAAAGAGCCACCUUGCUCUAGGAUGUGCCCCCACCCUGGGGGCAGCAUACAUUCCAAGUGAUUAGUCCAUAGUGUGGUACAAAGGUUGUACCCAUCUUGCCUGAAUUCAGGAUCUCUUGGAAAACCACCCCAGCUCUGCAGCUCCUGGUGGGGUGCUGAGGCCUCUGCUGCAGCUGCAUCGCAGUUUACUUUCCCCUCUGCCUAGUCCUGCUGCCUUCACUCCCCAACAGAUCACCCGCUCUGAACAUGCCAUCUACUGUGGAAAUCUUCAAUCUUUAAUUAAUUUUUCCUGUUACAGGAAGAUUAAGUCUAAAAGGGUAUCUCCCCUAGUUGAUCCAGAACUAAAUAACAUUGUUUUCAGUACUUCCAGUAACUUGCUUACACUCUUACUUCUAAAGCAUUGAAUGUAUCAUCUUAUGUGCUUGUCACCCCCAGCUUGUGUCAUAGGAGAAAGUAUACGGAGAUCAGGUACAACUUCAGUUCAACAGCUUAUGAGCUAUUGGAUCAGUCUCCUUAUUAAUCUCUCAGAGCCUCAAUUUCCUUGUUUAAAAUGGGGGCAAUACCUACCUUAAGGAAUUUCUUGAGGAUCAAAAGAAACCCUAGUAACAAAGCCUUGAACCAUGUCUGACUUAUAGUAUAUAUUCUAACUGCAAGUUCUUUUCAUGUCUUGUCCAUGAAUUCUUCAUUCAUUCAUUCAUUCAUUCAUCCAACAACCAAGCAUUCACUGAUGCUCCAAUUGUGCAAGACACUGUUUUAGGCCUUGAGAAUACAAACUGCACAAGCAGGACAAUGUAACCAGUGUUAUGCAGGGUCUGGUCUAGUGGGAGGAGAAGACAGUGACCAUGGCCCAUGAUGAGUGACAGAAUGAAAAGUAAUCAGGAAGAUAUGAUAGGAAAUACAGGGAGAAUGGGAGAGUCUGCUUUAUGUUGCAUAAUCAGAGGGCAGCUCUGGACAGGCAAAAUUUGAGCUGAGACCUAAAUGACAAGGAGUGAAGCCAAUGGAACAUCUGAAAGAAUAGUUUUCUAGAAAGAGAGCCCAGCUAGUGUGAGCCCUAAAGUAGGUAGAAAAUGGGCUUGGAGGGUUUUAUAUGAGGAGCAGCGGGAAGUAGGCAGAGGCCUGGUCAUUGUAGGUCAUGUUGGCUAGAGUAAAGAGCUUGUGUUUGAUUCUCAGGGCAAUGAAGAGCCUUUGGAGAAUUUAAAGCAAAGUGGGGAGGGGGAACAAGAGCUGAUUUACAUUAUUCUGAACAGCACCAGGAGGGAUAGUACUGGAUAAUAAGAGUGGUAAAAGGAGACCAUUUAGGAGGUUAUAGCAAUUGUCCAGGGUGGCCUGGCCUGCCACGGUAGCCACAGAGACGGUGAGAGGUGAGGAGGUGCCAGGUACCGUCAUGGGAGACAUAAUGACAUUCGAUCAAUGCUGAACUACAUAUAUGACGGUGGUACCAUGAGAUUAUAAUGGAGCUGAAAAAUUCCCAUCACCUAGUGACCUCGUAGCUGCUGGAACAUUGCAGGGCAAUGCAUACACACAUGUAUGUGGUGAUAGUGGUGCACACAAACCUACUAUGCUGCCAGUCCUAUAAAAGUGUAGCACACAGGAUUAUGUACAGUACAUAACACUUGAUAAUGAUAACAAAUGACUAGGUUACUGGUUUAUGCAUUUACCAUACUAUACUUUUAUCGUUAUUUUAGAGAGUACUCCCUCUACUUAUUUAAUAAAUAUAGUUAACUGUAAAACAGCCUCAGGCAGGUCGUUCAGGAGGUAUUCUAAAGAAGGCAUUACUAUCACAGGAGAUGACAACUCCAUGCGUGUUAUUGCC